rnacentral:rRNA from 1 species
UGAGGAACAUGACCUUCGGCGGGGGAUAGCCGGCCCAACGGCCGGGUAAUACCGCGUACGACCACUUUGGGGACAUCCCUGAGUGGUGAAAGCAGCAAUGCGCCGAUGGAGUGCCUCGCGGCCUAUCAGCUAGUUGGUGAGGUAACGGCUCACCAAGGCAACGACGGGUAGCUGGUCUGGAGGGGAUGGCCAGGCCCAACAGUUGGGGACUGAGACACGGCCCAGACUCCGUACGGGAGCA